ACAUACUCUUUGCGUUAUGCCCGCGUCACACUGUCCCGAUUUUUAUAUACGAUAGACACCCGAAUGCGAAAAUUGUAAGUUCGUACGAAGUUGGUCCCGAUCUCGUUAAAAUACCAAAAAGUGACCGAAGCAAGUACGAUUAAUAACGAAGUCUAUACGAUGGUGCCGAAAUUAUAUACGAUAGCAAAAGAUGGACAUACAAAGGUUAACCGAAGACGGGUAUUUAAGCUUCAUAUCUCAGACGAAGCCUACAUGAUGGGUCACGAAGGCUACACGAUGGAUUACGAAGGCUACACGAUGGAUUACGAUGAUGGCGCGAUGGCCAUACGAUGUCUAAAAGACGUCGUGUACAGCUUACGAU
rnacentral:lncRNA from 1 species